rnacentral:lncRNA from 1 species
CAAAAUUAGUCUGUAUUGGCAAUAUAGUUAAUGACUUGGACCUCGCUAUAUAUUUGGCCAGGACAUAGUAGACAUCACUAGCUAGCUAAUUAAUAAUAACUUUUUGGUUAAAGGACUUAAUUAUUAACUUAAUCCAUAUUUUUUUGUAUAUGGAUAUCUGGCUGUAAUGAAAUACUAUGUUUUGUCGGCAAAACAAAUUAUUUUAAUCGUAAACUUAUCAAAUAUAUAUGAUUUUUAGUGACUACGCAAUACGCAUACACUAACUCUUUUUUUUUUUGAG